rnacentral:rRNA from 1 species
GACGGGGGGUCCUAGCGUUGUUCGGAAUCAUUGGGCGUAAAGCGUGUGCAGGUGGUUCGGUAAGUCAGAUGUGAAAUCCCCGGGCUUAACCUGGGAACUGCGUUUGAAACUACAAGGCUAGAGUGUGGCAGAGGGGGGUGGAAUUCCACGUGUAGCAGUGAAAUGCGUAGAGAUGUGGAGGAACACCGAUGGCGAAGGCAGCCCCCUGGGUUAACACUGACGCUCAGGCACGAAAGCGUGGGGAGCAAACAGGAUUAGAACCUAC